UUUUUAAUCAACUGCAAUCUUUGCUUACACGGCUUCUGAACAAAGAUCGGAGUUUUAUUGAACGUAACCUGUCAAAUUCUGAUUAUGUUUGGGAGGACAUGUCUGAUUUGGAACCUGCCGCCGAACCGUUGGCAAGCGAGCCAUAUUGCCCAUACAUUGCUAUUACGAACUCGAAAUCGAGAAUAUGAGUAACUUGUUGGCCUUACAAGCGAAUUGCAAACAACUUUACGAGUGGCGCAACUUUCGAAGAGAUAUGUCAAUGCUGCAAUGCAAAUUGUGUAACGUAAUGUUAGAAAGCGUCACCCAAUUGCGCUUGCACUUGCUUACCCAACUACAUCGCGAUCGGGAAAAGCAGAUCGGAUGGAAACCUCUGUAAAA